GGCUGGGUAGCUCAGUUGGUUAGAGCAUACGGUUCAUACCCGUAGUGUCGGCGGUUCGAGUCCGCCCCUAGCCA
rnacentral:tRNA from 1 species